rnacentral:rRNA from 1 species
CUACGGGGGGCUGCAGUGAGGAAUUUUGCGCAAUGGGGGAAACCCUGACGCAGCAACGCCGCGUGAGCGAAGAAGGCCUUCGGGUCGUAAAGCUCUGUCAAGUGGGAAAAAAAUUCUUUGAUGAACAGUCAAAGGACUUGAUGGUACCACUGGAGGAAGCACCGGCUAACUCCGUGCCAGCAGCCGCGGUAAUACGGAGGGGUGCAAUCGUUGUUCGGAAUUACUGGGCGUAAAGAGCGUGUAGGCGGUUUGACAAGUCAGAUGUGAAAGCCCCGGGCUCAACCCGGGAAGUGCAUUUGAAACUGUUUCACUAGAGUAUGGGAGAGGAGAUUGGAAUUCCUGGUGUAGAGGUGAAAUUCGUAGAUAUCAGGAGGAACACCCGUGGCGAAGGCGAUUCUCUGGACCAAUACUGACGCUGAGACGCGAAAGCGUGGGGAGCAAACAGGAUUAGAUACCCGGGUAGUC